GUUGAUCAUCAGAUUGUUCUGAACUUGAUCAGGUGGUUCCUUCUCUCAUGAAAGAAGCACCUGGUUGAGAUGGAAGAAGAGGGCAACAAAGCAGACAAUGAGUCCAAUGCAGCUAUACUACCAGAUUUCAUACCUCAAGUUGGCAUGGAAUUUGGAAGUUCAGAUGAGGCUUGGGCAUUUUGGCUUCGUUAUGGUGGGCACAGAGGCUUUGAAGUUAGAAAAAGGCUUUGAUGGACAAGGAGAAGGAUUCCAAUGAGAAGAUGGCCCUCAAAAGCUUCACCCAACACUUGACUGGACCAAUCAGUGAUGAUCUUCUUACUGGAGAUUUAUUGUAGUAACUCUGGUUUGCUUUUUUGCUCCAAGUGGGCAUAUGCGUUCACCUUUCUUUUGCUAUUUUGCAAGCAUCCUAGAAGCAUGGAUAACUUUAGUUCUGUGUAAUUUAUGUAUUUACCUUCCAGUGAUGUGAAUGUAUGAAUGCAUUUGACAGCAUGCAGAAAUCUCUGCAGGAAUCUCAACAUUUUC